AUUGAACGCUGGCGGCAGGCUUCACACAUGCAAGUCGAGCGAGCGGCGGACGGGUGAGUAAUGUCUGGGCAACUGCCUGAUGGAGGGGGAUAACUACUGGAACCGGUAGCUAAUACCGCAUACCCUCAGAUGUGCCCAGAUGGGAUUAGCUAGUGGGUGGGGUAAUGGCUCACCUAGGCGACGCUCCCUCGCUGGUCUGAGAGGAUGACCAGCCACACUGGAAAGGAGACACGGUCCAGACUCCUACGGGAGGCAGCAGUGGGGAAUAUUGCACAAUGGGCGAAAGCCUGAUGCAGCCAUGCCGCGUGUGGGAAGAAGGCCUUCGGGUGGUAAAGCACUUUCAGCGAGGAGGCGUUACUCGCAGAAGAAGCACCGGCUAACUCCGGGCCAGCAGCCGCGGUAAUUC
rnacentral:rRNA from 1 species